ACAGAGGAAAUGCUUAUGUCAGAGAAUGAAUGUUUUAAGACACACACAGGUGUCUCUGGGACAACCAAGAAAAGUGCAACAGGCAGAUGGAUUGAGGAGUCUGGCUAAAGAUAAGGAUUUAGGAACUGCUGAAUUAAAAUUACCCAAGCGUGAGAAGUGGUGUUGUGAUUAAGAGAGAAAAAAAAAAUGGAGGUCUGAGGAAUAACAUUUAAGGAAUAAAUGAAGAGGCCAAAAGGUGGGGGGUGGUUCAGGAGUGAGCAAAAUGUAAGAAGUCAAGGGAAUAAAUCUUUAAAGUAGGGGUUGUCAAAAAUGUCAAAUACAGAAAAAAAGUCAAGUACUAGCUUGUGAAUUAAACUGUGGAUUUAGAAUUAAGAUUUUAGACUUUACAGGAAGGGACUGUUAACCAGAGAGCCAAAUGGCAGAUUUUAGUUAAGGAGCCAGUAGAAGGUGACAAAGUAGAGGUAAGAAUAUUCCUUCAAAAAGAUUGGCAGCUAAAAAAAAAAGAGGCCGGGCGUGGUGGCUCACGCCUGUAAUCCCAGCACUUUGGGAGGUCGAGGUGGAAGAAUGGCGUGAACCUGGAAGGCAGAGCUUGCAGUGAGCUAAGA
rnacentral:lncRNA from 1 species